rnacentral:tRNA from 1 species
GGGGGGUUAGUUCAGUUGGCUAGAACGUCACACUUGCACUGUGAAGGUCGUGGGUUCGAGACCCACACUCUCCA